AUAGAUGAUGGAUGGAUGAUGGAUGGAUGAUGGAUGGAUGGAUGAUGGAUGGAUGGAUGGAUGGAUGGAUGGAUGAUGGAUGGAUGGAUGAUGGAUGGAUGGAUGAUGGAUGGAUGGAUGGAUGGAUGGAUGAUGGAUGGAUGAUGGAUGAUGGAUGGAUGAUGGAUGAUGGAUGGAUGAUGGAUGGAUGAUGGAUGAUGGAUGGAUGAUGGAUGGAUGGAUGGAUGGAUGGAUAAAAGCAGCACAGCACCCCAUUAGUGCACCCCAAAGCCACAACCCCAUCACUGUUCAGUCCCCAGCAGCUCAGGGGGACAUUCCCAAGGUCCCAGUAGUUCUGCUCUGCCCAUCCCAAUCCCACAUCCCACCAAAGCACGCUGUCUGGUCCGUGGGGAAUCUGGAGCUGGGUGGGAUGUUUGGCUCCCAAUUCUCACCCUCAGGCCACGGCACCCAGGGAGCAUCCCACCCUUCCCUGGCCAGAAAUCCCAUUCUUCCCAACUCCCUGCUGGCAGAGGAGGGGCAGGGACUCUGCUGCUGCUCUCCCAGGGGAUAAAAAGAAGGGGAAUUCCUGGGAUGGAGCCAUUUGCUCGGCAGAGGCCAGAAACAGGGAGCCCAUCUUUAAGGUGGAGCUUCCCUCACCCAAAUCCUCCAGAAAUUCAGGGAGGUUUGGUCUCCUCCAGUGGCUGGGAGCUCCUGCACCCCUCAGGGCUCUGCUGUCACCUCCCUGUCCCCAAGGUUGUGUCAUCCUGGGACAAUGCAUGUCCAGCACAGCACGGAGCCACUGGCACUUCCAAGGAUCCCGAUCCUGCAGCUCUGGCAGAGCAGGAAUGGCCACGGCAGCAUCCCAGCAAUGCUGCAGGGACAGAGCAGCCGCUCCCGCUGGGAGCAGAGGGAUGAUGGAUGGAGUUAAAUGGAGCGCCUGGAAAGACAAACACUCCAUGCCCGGCUGGCUCCCUCCUGCCGGGAUCCAAUGGAGCACCAGGAAUGCUGGCAGCCCCAUCAGCUGCCCCAUUAGGGAGCAAAUGGAGCAGCAGCAUCCCACAGACCUCCGGUGCUUCCAUCUCCUCCAGCUGGAAAACUCUGGAGGAACCAGAAAAACUUCACUGCAGCUGCCGAGCCAAAGGCCAGGGCGGAUUUUCCAAAGCUGGGAAUUCCCUGGGCCGAGCGGGCAGAGGGAGAGAUGGGAUUUGUUUGGAGCAGCCUUUAAAAGUCAGAGGUGUUUAAACAAAGAGCAGCUGAGAGCCUUCCCGGGGCUCCCAGUGAGGCACCGCCGACCUUCCUCAAAUAGCAGGGAGACUCCAUGGAAAUGCGGAAGGGAAGGGGAGCAGGAGCUGGGUUUAGGGAGCUGGAAUGGGGGAUGCCCCCUAGGGAAUGCAGGCCGGGCUCAGCCAGCCACUCCUCGCCCCACGGCCGCUGUCCCCAGCACGGGGUGGCACCGCCAGUCUGGGAAGCCUGGAGAGGAUCCAAUAACCACAACUGGUGGAUGUGGCCGAGGUCUCUCCAGGCAGGAGCCAGGAUCCCUCUCUGGGACAUUCCGUGCUCUGCGGAAGCUGCUGGUCCCCCAAAGCUGCCAUUCCUUGAGUCUGUCACAUCACCAGAGCUGUUCCCUGCUGUCCCCAAGGGCUGCUCCACACCUGCAAAGCCCAGGUGAAACCCCAGCAGGGCUCAUUCCCAGCCUCCCAAACCCUGGGAUGCAGCUGGAGUGUUGGAGGAGCCCCUCUAGAGGGGACAGGAGAAGGGCCUGGGGUCCCCAAAUCCCAGGGGUCUGGGAUCCCCAAAUCCCAGGGGUCUGGGGUCCCCAAAUUUCAGGGCUCUGGGGUCCCCAAAUCCCAGGGGUCUGGGGUCCCCAAAUCCCAGGGGUCUGGGAUCCCCAAAUCCCAGGAGUCUGGGGUCCCCAAAUCCCAGGGGUUUGCUGCAGACCCAGAGCCACCCCCUGUGCUGGCCGUGGGCUUCCCGAGCUGGCAGCACAGCACCAUUUCUGCAGUGCCAUCCAUGGGGAUGGGCUGUGCCAGAGGGGCUGCAGCGUGUCCAGGGCAGGGAACGGAGCUGGGGAAGGGGCUGGAGCCCCAGGAGCGGCUGAGGGAGCUGGGAAAGGGGCUCAGCCUGGAGAAAAGGAGGCCCAGGGGGCCCUUGUGGCUCUGCACAACUCCCUGCCAGGAGGGGACAGCCGGGGAGGGUCGGGCUCUGCUCCCAGGGAACAGGGACAGGAGGAGAGGGAACGGCCUCAGGCUGCGCCAGGGGGGGCUCAGGGUGAAUUUUGGGAAAAUUUCUUCCUGAAAAGGGCAGUCAGACACUGGCACAGCUGCCCAGGGCAGGGGUGGAUCCCCAUCCCUGGGAGGGAUUGAACAGCCCUGUGGAUGUGGCACUUGGGGAC
rnacentral:lncRNA from 1 species